rnacentral:lncRNA from 1 species
UCUCACUCUCUCUCUUACAGCUCUCUCUGUUCUGCAGCUCUCUCCCCCUCUGUUCCUCGACCUCACUACUUCCUCUCUUUGAUUCUCCGAUUCACGAUCUCAGUGUGUGUUUGUGUUUGGCGUCUGUAUAUGUGUAAUGGUGUGACCAGUGUGUGUGUGAAUUUCAUAUGAGAGCCAAUAAAAAUGGAGGUCCGUGUGUUGUGG